ensembl:lncRNA
CUGAGACUGAAAAAUAUUCCUCCUUAAAAAAUGGAGCGUGUUUGAGGCGCCGGUGUUCUGGAGAGGACUGGUGGGCAGAGGGCCUGGGAGGAGCGUCAGACCCGGAUGCCUGAAGGCAGAGUUGGCAGUCCGAGGCACCAGCUACUGCUGAAGGUCAGCAAAAGGCAGCAGCUGAAGACGAGAGAGUUAUCUGCAAGUCUGAGUAAGGGACAGGCAGAGCCGCCAGAACUCUACUCCUAGUGCCAAGAAGCAGGGCUGCAUCGUGCUGGAGUAUCAAGCAAGCACCUGAAAACUGAAUGGCAAAAAGCAAACAGUACUGCCAGACUGCAUUCCAGAAUCAAGAGAGAGUGGCCAAGAUCAGGUUCCAGUUCAGUUUCUGGAGCAGAUAAGAUUCCAUGAGCUGCAUGAAUCUUGGAGAUUCAGAAGAUGGUCUCAGCCGGCAAGAUUGGUCAUGGCCAUUGGCUUUUUCUGAAGCAGCAGUCCAGCGUCAGUCAUCAGCAAAAUGGUGACAAGAGACAGCUUCACUGGCUUUGUGAUCCCUGGAUCUCAUCUAAAUUGACGUUCUUAAAGUCAGCAGUUUCAGUGAUGGCUCCCUGAUUCUCCACCUUCCUGACUGUGGUAGGAGAGCAGUUCCCCUGCUGGGCUCAUUCUGUCGUGUUGUUCUCGAUGCUAUUUCUGGAAGCCUAACUCAGAGCUUUCCAGUCCUUCCAGGAUUGUGCGAACUCCUUGUUUCCU